CGUAGGUGACCUGCGGAGGAUCAUUACAAGUGAGGCUACCGAACGUUGGAAACAGCGGUUAGGAGCUUACACCCACCCGUGUUUACAUACUAUUGUUGCUUUGGCGGGCCGUGGCCUCCACUGCGGGCUCUGCUCGUGUGUGCCCGCCAGAGAACCAAACUCUGAAUGUUAGUGAUGUCUGAGUACUAUCUAAUAGUUAAAACUUUCAACAACGGAUCUCUUGGUUCUGGCAUCGAUGAAGAACGCAGCGAAAUGCGAUAAGUAAUGUGAAUUGCAGAAUUCAGUGAAUCAUCGAAUCUUUGAACGCACAUUGCGCCCUGUGGUAUUCCGCAGGGCAUGCCUGUUCGAGCGUCAUUUAACCACUCACGCCUAGCGUGGUAUUGGGGCACGCGGUCUCCGCGGCCCUCAAAAUUAGUGGCGGCGCCGGUGGGCUCUAAGCGUAGUACAUACUCCCGCUAUAGAGUCCCCCCGGUGGCUCGCCAGAACCCCCAAUUUUUACAGGUUGACCUCGGAUCAGGUAGGGAUACCCGCUGAACUUAA
rnacentral:rRNA from 1 species